AUUCUGCCCAUGCGGGGAAGGAUGAGAAGCUUCGACUAAGGUUCGACUCGAGCGCCAGCGAGAGAGCGUUGCCGCAGGCAACGACCCGAAGGGCGAAGCGCGCAGCGCUGAGUAAUCCUUCCCCCACCACCA
rnacentral:sRNA from 5 species